AGGGCAGGUUCUUCCCACCUUGUUUAUAAGCACAAGAGGGAAAUGAUGCCCCCCAGUUCCCAGAAGUUGAAGGCGGCAGGGCAGGGGAGGCCUGAAGAGCAGCACUCAGAGUGCAACUUCUCAGACUUCUCCCAUCCCUUCCACGCCCAGGGGGAACAGAGAGUCUCCCAAAGCCUCUCAGGGAUCAUCUGGUCUAAUACUCCACUGGCCAGAUGUGGCAACAGGAUCAGAGAGGGGAAGUAACUUCCCCAAAGCCACCAGCAACUUAACCACAGCCACAGGACUAGGCCAGAAGCCCUGAAUCCUCCUUCUGCCGUCAUAUGCUUACAAGCUUCUCUGCCUGACGAUCCCUGUCCCAUGUCAAAGGCAGUCCCUGGGGUCACUGCAUCCAUGUGUACACUCAGGUUAUUCCCAGGCCAGGCAGGAUCGCGAGAGGCAGGGCAGAACCCACUCGGCGUGUGAGCUGAUCUCCCCCAUGAUUUCACAAGUCCCGUUCAGCCCCGGGACACAGCCCACUCUUCAGACUGGGACAGGAAGGCCCAGAGGUGUGCGAAGCGGGAAAAGCUGAAGCUCCGGUCCCUUUGUACUCAGGCCCAAGAACUGAGGUGCAUCUGGGCUCCAGAAUGAGAGCGCAGACCCUGUUCAGCACCUCCCCAAGGAGGCCCACCAACAGGAGGAUGUCUCUUGGCACUGGCUUUGGGAACAAGAGAAGAGGGAACCCCGGGACCUGGGGAGAGGCUGGAGCACUCAGAAGUCGGGCCCAUUCCAGCCCUAACAGGAAGCCAGUGAGUAGUGGAGACCAAGGGUGCUGUGUCCAGAGCGGAGAGGAAGGGGCAGGGUGGUGCUGACGCCCCAGUCCUGUUCUGCCUGCCACAGCCCCACUCACCAGGUCUGAGUCCCCAGAGGCCCCCCUUACUCCCUGCUUCAUUCCCUCUGGAAGGGGCAAGUCUGCGGCUUGGCUGGGAGCUCCAGGGACUAAGGUAGCCCCACGGCCGUAGGACCCGCGCAUAGCUAAAACCCGGCGGGCCCUAGGGCCCCGCGGAGGAGCCCCAGCAGGCGGACCAGGCAGCCUUGCCCUCCCGGCGCUCCCAGCCUGUUGCUUAUUCAUUGAGAGUUGGAAAGCGCCGCCGCGGACAGCCGAGCCGGCGGCCGGCCAUGUAAGGCCCCAGGCGGCCCUGCCCGCUCCGUGCCCUGCGGAGAGCCUCGCGCAGCGCUGGGCGCCGCCCCUACCCUGCCCUGACCCCUUGGCCUCGAAAUGCUGUCAUCGGAGGAGCCGUCCCGCUCGGGACAAGGCCAGGAUGGACAAAGCUAAAGCCAGGGCAGGCAAGGAGCCGUCCUGUCCGCGAGGCCGUGGGAAAAGCAGCACGCACCGGGGGCCACUCCCGAGAGCCUCUCUGUCCACCAGGCCUCUGCAGAGGGCCCAUCAUGGCUCUGGGCCGAGCCAGCUGGCAGCUGGAGGUCCUGGUGUGGGGCGCCUGCUUGUGCGUCCUGGUACGCGGGCAGCAGGUACAGCCGGGGCAGGGCUCGGACCCGGGGCGCUGGCGGCAGCUGAUCCAAUGGGAGAACAAUGGGCAGGUGUACAGCCUGCUCAACUCGGGCUCAGAGUACGUGCCGGCCGGGCCUCCGCGCGCCGAGAGUAGCUCCCGGGUGCUGCUGGCGGGCACGCCCCAGGCCCAGCAGCGGCGCAGCCACGGGGGCCCCCGGCGUCGGCAGGCGCCGUCCCUGCCCCUACCGGGGCGCGUGGGCUCGGACACUGUGCGCGGCCAGGCGCGGCACCCAUUCGGCUUUGGCCAGGUGCCCGACAACUGGCGCGAGGUGGCCGUCGGGGACAGCACCGGCAUGGCCCGGGCCCGCACCUCGGUCUCCCAGCAACGGCAAGGGGGCUCCGCCUCCUCGGUCUCAGCCUCGGCCUUCGCCACCACCUACCGCCAGCCGGCCUCCUACCCGCAGCAGUUCCCCUACCCGCAGGCGCCCUUCGUCAGCCAGUACGAGAACUACGACCCCGCGUCGCGCACCUACGACCAGGGUUACGUGUACUACCGCGGCGCGGGCGGCGGCAUGGGCGCGGGGGCGGCGGCCGUGGCCUCGGCGGGCGUCGUCUACCCCUUCCAGCCCCGGGCGCGCUACGAGGACUACGGCGGCGGCGAGGAGCAGCCCGAGUACCCGGCCCAGGGCUUCUACCCGGCCCCAGAGCGGCCCUACGCGCCGCAGCCGCAGCCCCCCGACGGCCUGGACCGCCGCUACUCGCACAGCCUGUACCACGAGGGCACCGCGGGCCUGGAGCAGGCCUACCCCGACCCCAGCCCCGACGCGGCGCAGCCCGCCGGGGGCGCCUACGGCGGCGACCCCCGCCUGGGCUGGUACCCGCCCUACGCCAACGUGCCGCCCGAGGCCUACAGCCCGCGCGCUGUGGAGCCGCAGCCGCCCUUCCGCGUGCUGGAGCCGCCCUACCUGCCGGUGCGCAGCUCCGACGCGCCCCCGCCGGGCGGGGACCGGAGCGGCGCGCAGCAGGGCCGCCUCAGCGUGGGCAGCGUGUACCGGCCCAACCAGAACGGUCGCGGUGAGGCAGGGAGCGUCAGAGCCUGCAUCUGCCCGGCCAGCAAGGGGAGGUGUGGCAAGUGCCUGUUACUGGGCAUCUGUGAGCUUGGCCUGAGUGAUCCAGAGGUCUCCCCGACUUGGUCCCGGACCCCAACUACGUGCAAGCGUCCACCUACGUGCAGAGAGCCCACUUGUACUCCCUGCGCUGUGCCGCGGAGGAGAAGUGUCUGGCCAGCACAGCCUACGCCCCCGAAGCCACCGACUACGAUGUGCGGGUGCUGCUGCGCUUCCCCCAGCGCGUGAAGAACCAGGGCACGGCGGACUUCCUCCCCAACCGGCCACGGCACACCUGGGAGUGGCACAGCUGCCACCAACAUUACCACAGCAUGGACGAGUUCAGCCACUAUGACCUGCUGGAUGCAGCCACGGGCAAGAAGGUGGCUGAGGGCCACAAGGCCAGCUUCUGCCUGGAGGACAGCACCUGUGACUUCGGCAACCUCAAGCGCUAUGCGUGCACCUCUCACACGCAGGGCCUGAGCCCAGGCUGCUACGACACCUACAACGCGGACAUCGACUGCCAGUGGAUCGACAUAACAGAUGUGCAGCCUGGAAACUACGUCCUCAAGGUGCACGUGAACCCGAAGUACAUCGUUCUGGAGUCUGACUUCACCAACAACGUGGUGAGGUGCAACAUUCACUACACAGGGCGCUACGUCUCUACAACCAACUGCAAAAUUGUCCAAUCCUGACCUCCUCGAGGCUCCGACCAAUCUCUCCCUCCCAGAGCAAGCCCUGCCUCCACGGGCCUCCUGCCGAGGGGCCCAGCCCCACCCACAGGCAGGGGCAUCCGUCCCUGCCGGCCUCAGGGAGCGAACGAACGUGGACCGAAACCACAGGGAUUCCGGAUGCCAGACCCAUUUUGUACUUAACUUUUCUCUACGACAUUGUUUUGUCGGUUGUUGGUUUGUUUUUAUUUUUUAUAUUUUGGCCAUACUGCAGAGCAAGUUUGCCCAGUUCUGGGACGAAUAAAACAAGGUUUUUCUACUCUGUG